rnacentral:rRNA from 1 species
GCCUAAUACAUGCAAGUCGAACGCUGAAGCACUCUGCUUGCAGAGUGUGGAUGAGUGGCGAACGGGUGAGUAACACGUGGGGAAUCUGCCUAGGAUGGGGGAUAACAUUCGGAAACGGAUGCUAAUACCGCAUAGAUUCGCGAACCGCAUGGUUCAUGAAUGAAAGACGGCUUUGCUGUCGCUCUUAGAUGAUCCCGCGGCGUAUUAGUUAGUUGGUGAGGUAAUGGCUCACCAAGGCGACGAUACGUAGCCGACCUGAGAGGGUGAUCGGCCACACUGGGACUGAGACACGGCCCAGGCUCCUACGGGAGGCAGCAGUAGGGAAUCUUCCACAAUGGGUGCAAACCUGAUGGAGCAAUGCCGCGUGAAUGAAGAAGGUCUUCGGAUCGUAAAGUUCUGUUAUUAGAGAAGAACAAGUUGAGGAGUAACUGCCUCAACCUUGACAGUAUCUAACCAGAAAGUCACGGCUAACUACGUG